rnacentral:rRNA from 1 species
UACGUAGGGUGCAAGCGUUGUCCGGAAUUAUUGGGCGUAAAGAGCUCGUAGGCGGCCUGUCGCGUCGGCUGUGAAAACUCAGGGCUCAACCCCUGAGCCUGCAGUCGAUACGGGCAGGCUAGAGUCCGGCAGGGGAGACUGGAAUUCCUGGUGUAGCGGUGAAAUGCGCAGAUAUCAGGAGGAACACCGGUGGCGAAGGCGGGUCUCUGGGCCGGAACUGACGCUGAGGAGCGAAAGCGUGGGGAGCGAACAGG